rnacentral:rRNA from 1 species
AUUGAACGCUGGCGGCAUGCUUUACACAUGCAAGUCGAACGGUAACAGGCCUUCGGGUGCUGACGAGUGGCGAACGGGUGAGUAAUGCAUCGGAACGUACCCAGAGGUGGGGGAUAACGCAGCGAAAGCUGUGCUAAUACCGCAUGUGAUCUGAGGAUGAAAGCGGGGGACCGAGCAGCAAUGUUUGGCCUCGCGCCUUUGGAGCGGCCGAUGUCGGAUUAGCUAGUUGGUGGGGUAAAGGCCUACCAAGGCGACGAUCCGUAGCUGGUCUGAGAGGACGACCAGCCACACUGGGACUGAGAAACGGCCCAGACUCCUACGGGAGGCAGCAGUGGGGAAUUUUGGACAAUGGGCGCAAGCCUGAUCCAGCAAUGCCGCGUGCGGGAAGAAGGCCUUCGGGUUGUAAUCCGCUUUUGGCAGGAACGAAACGGUGUCCGCUAAUACCGGGCGCUAAUGACGGUACCUGCAGAAUAAGCACCGGCUAACUACGUG